UUCUUUAUCACCGAGUGCUUGCACUCACCGGUAAAGAGUUGAGUGGCGAACGGGUGAGUAACACGUGGGCAACCUGCCCAAAAGAGGGGGAUAACACUUGGAAACAGGUGCUAAUACCGCAUAACCAUAGUUACCGCAUGGUAACUAUGUAAAAGGUGGCUAUGCUACCGCUUUUGGAUGGGCCCGCGGCGCAUUAGCUAGUUGGUGGGGUAAAGGCUUACCAAGGCAAUGAUGCGUAGCCGAACUGAGAGGCUGAUCGGCCACAUUGGGACUGAGACACGGCCCAAACUCCUACGGGAGGCAGCAGUAGGGAAUCUUCCACAAUGGGCGAAAGCCUGAUGGAGCAACGCCGCGUGGGUGAAGAAGGUCUUCGGAUCGUAAAACCCUGUUGUUAGAGAAGAAAGUGCGUGAGAGUAACUGUUCACGUUUCGACGGUAUCUAACCAGAAAGCCACGGCUAACUACGUGCCAGCAGCCGCGGUAAUACGUAGGUGGCAAGCGUUAUCCGGAUUUAUUGGGCGUAAAGGGAACGCAGGCGGUCUUUUAAGUCUGAUGUGAAAGCCUUCGGCUUAACCGGAGUAGUGCAUUGGAAACUGGGAGACUUGAGUGCAGAAGAGGAGAGUGGAACUCCAUGUGUAGCGGUGAAAUGCGUAGAUAUAUGGAAGAACACCAGUGGCGAAAGCGGCUCUCUGGUCUGUAACUGACGCUGAGGUUCGAAAGCGUGGGUAGCAAACAGGAUUAGAUACCCUGGUAGUCCACG
rnacentral:rRNA from 1 species